rnacentral:misc_RNA from 1 species
AGAAGGAGAAGAAGAAGAAGAAAAGAAGAUCUUAGCUGCAUUAGACAUCUGAUCCUGAGGCUGUUGGAAAGGGUGGAGCGAGCAGUGCUUAGCUUUAUUGGAAGAUACUAAAGGUAAACUUCCAUUACCUACUUCUCAUUCUCUACUGAUGUAUAUUUUGUUUAUUUGAUUUUAGUUAAAUUUCAGAUUUUUAAACCUUAAUCUUAAAGGAGAAUCUUAUAUUAUUGUAUUAAAUUUAUUGAUAUUCUUAAGUGAUAGUCAUUAUUCUAUUAAAUGUGUAUUUAUGUUUGGGAUUUUAGAAUUUUCAAAAAUCUCUAUUUCUAACCCAUUAAAUUAAGAGAUUGAUAAAAUUUUCUCUUUAAAUACCUUCAAAAGCC